AACUUUUGGCAAUGGAUCACUUGGCUCUCGCACCGAUGAAGAACGCAGCGAAAUGCGAUAAGUAAUGUGAAUUGCAGAUUUUCAGUGAAUCAUCGAAUCUUUGAACGCACCUUGCGCCCCUUGGUAUUCCGAGGGGCAUGCCUGUUUGAGUGUCAUUGAAAUAUCAACCUUGGGUGGAUUUGCUUCCUCUCCGAUGGUUGGACUUUGGAGAGUGCUGGCGUCAGGUCGGCUCCUCUUAAAUGCAUCAGCGGAAAACUUUGACCUCUGGACGUCAGCGUGAUAAUCACGUUGCGCUGUCGACCGAGGUGUCAUCAUAAGGACCCGCUUCUAAUGGUCUUCGGACAGGACAUCAAAUUUGACCUCAAAUCAGGUAGGACUACCCGCUGAACUUAAGCAUAUCAAUAAGCGGAGGCU
rnacentral:misc_RNA from 1 species